rnacentral:rRNA from 1 species
GACGAACGCUGGCGGCGUGCUUAACACAUGCAAGUCGAACGGAAAGGCCCUGCUUUUGUGGGGUGCUCGAGUGGCGAACGGGUGAGUAACACGUGAGUAACCUGCCCUUGACUUAGGGAUAACUUCAGGAAACUGGGGCUAAUACCGGAUAGGAGCUCCUGCUGCAUGGUGGGGGUUGGAAAGAUUCGGCGGUUGGGGAUGGACUCGCGGCUUUACAGUUUGUUGGUGGGGUAGUGGCUUACGAAGGCUUUGACGGGUAGCCGGCCUGAGAGGGUGACCGGCCACAUUGGGACUGAGAUACGGCCCAGACUCCUACGGGAGGCAGCAGUGGGGGAUAUUGCACAAUGGGCGGAAGCCUGAUGCAGCAACGCCGCGUGCGGGAUGACGGCCUUCGGGUUGUAAACCGCUUUCGCCUGUGACGAAGCGUGAGUGACGGUACUGGGUAAAGAAGCACCGGCUAACUACGUG